rnacentral:rRNA from 1 species
UAAUACCGGAUAAGAAAGACGGAUCGCAUGAUCAGCUUUUAAAAGGACGGCGUAAGCUGUCGCUAUGGGAUGGCCCCGCGGUGCAUUAGCUAGUUGGUAAGGUAAAGGCUUACCAAGGCGAUGAUGCAUAGCCGAGUUGAGAGACUGAUCGGCCACAUUGGGACUGAGACACGGCCCAAACUCCUACGGGAGGCAGCAGC